UACGGCCAUAUCACGUUGAAAGAUCGGUUCCUAUACGAUCGGCGAAGUUAAGCAACGUCGAGCCGGGUUAGUACCUAGAUGAGUGACCUUUUGGAACUAACAUCUGCUGUAA